rnacentral:rRNA from 1 species
AGGAUGAACGCUGGCGGCGUGCUUAACACAUGCAAGUCGAACGAUGAAGCCGGAGCUUGCUCUGGUGGAUUAGUGGCGAACGGGUGAGUAACACGUGAGUAACCUGCCCUUGACUCUGGGAUAAGCACUGGAAACGGUGUCUAAUACCGGAUACGAGCUUUAGCCGCAUGGCUAGGAGCUGGAAAGAAUUUCGGUCAAGGAUGGACUCGCGGCCUAUCAGGUAGUUGGUGAGGUAACGGCCCACCAAGCCUACGACGGGUAGCCGGCCUGAGAGGGUGACCGGCCACACUGGGACUGAGACACGGCCCAGACUCCGUACGGGAGCAGCAGUGGGAAUAUUGCACAAUGGGCGCAAGCCUGAUGCAGCAACGCCGCGUGAGGGACGACGGCCUUCGGUUGUAAACCUCGUUUAGAGGUAAGAAGACGAAAGUGACGUACUGACAAGAAAAGCACCGCUAACUACGAGCCAGCAGCCGAC